rnacentral:lncRNA from 1 species
AGUUUUCUGGUUUGAUGCUGGCUCCUCCCUGCUGAGUGUCUUCUGGAGGUGGAGGUGAGGGGUGGAAGAGGAUGGCCACGGAGAUCAGUGCUCAGGGCAGACCGCGCGCCAUUGGGCAAGAGGAAUACAACCUGUACAGCAGCCUGAGCGAGGACGAGCUUGUCCAGAUGGCCAUUGAGCAGAGCCUGGCUGACAAGACUCGGGGCCCAGCCACCACUGAGACCACUGUGCCCACACGCGUCAACCGUGAACCCGCCCACUUCUAUCCAUGGACCAGGCCCGUGGACCCCGUGCUAAAGGCCGUCAAGGAAGGCGAUGAAGAGGCCUUGACGGCUAUGAUCAAGGCGGGCAAGAACCUCUCAGAACCCAACAAGGAGGGCUGGCUGCCGCUGCACGAGGCAGCCUACUACGGCCAGCUGAACUGCCUGAAGGCCCUGCACCGAGCGUACCCGGCAGUCAUCGACCAGCGCACCCUGCAGGAGGAAACGGCCCUUUACCUGGCGACCUGCAGGGGACACGUGGACUGCCUCCAAUUCCUGCUCCAGGCUGGCGCCGAGCCCGACAUCUCCAACAAGUCCCGAGAGACACCGCUCUACAAAGCCUGUGAGCGCAAGAAUGUGGAGGCAGUGAGGAUUCUGGUGCAGUACAAGGCGGACACCAACCACCGCUGUAACCGAGGCUGGACGGCUCUGCACGAGUCUGUGGCUCGCAAUGACCUGGAGGUCAUGGAGAUCCUGGUGAGCGGAGGCGCCAAGGUGGAAGCCAAGAAUGCCUAUGGCAUCACCCCCUUGUUCGUGGCUGCCCAGAGUGGGCAGCUGGAGGCACUGAGAUUCCUGGCCAAACACGGCGCUGACAUCAACACACAGGCCAGCGACAGCGCGUCCGCCCUCUACGAGGCCUGCAAGAACGGGCACGAGGAGGUGGUGGAGUUCCUGCUGUCACAGGGUGCGGACGCCAACAAGACCAACAAGGACGGCAUGCUCCCGCUGCACAUCGCCUCCAAGAAGGGUAACUACAGGAUCGUGCAGAUGCUGCUGCCGGUGACCAGCCGCACGCGCGUGCGCCGUAGCGGCAUCAGCCCGCUGCACCUGGCGGCCGAGCGCAACAACGACGAGGUGCUCGAGGCCCUGUUGGGCGCGCGCUUCGACGUGAACGCGCCGCUAGCCCCCGAGCGCGCGCGCCUCUACGAGGACCGCCGCAGCUCGGCGCUCUACUUCGCCGUGGUCAACAACAACGUGUACGCCACCGAGCUGCUGCUGCUCGCCGGCGCCGACCCCAACCGCGACGUCAUCAACCCCCUGCUCGUGGCCAUCCGACACGGCUGCCUGCGCACCAUGCAGCUGCUGCUGGACCACGGUGCCAACAUCGACGCCUACAUCGCCACGCACCCCACCUCCUUCCCCGCCACCAUCAUGUUCGCCAUGAAGUGCUUGUCGCUGCUCAAGUUCCUCAUGGACCUCGGCUGCAACGGCGAGCCCUGCUUCUCGUGCCUGUAUGGCAACGGCCCGCACCCGCCCGCCCCGCCGCCCUCCAACAGGUUCAAUGAUGCGCCUGCCUCCGACAAGGCGCCCAGCGCGGUCCAGUUCUGCGAGUUCCUGUCUGCCCCGGAAGUGAGCCGCUGGGCAGGGCCCAUCAUCGAUGUCCUCUUGGACUACGUGGGCAACGUGCAGCUCUGCUCGCGGCUGAAGGAGCAUAUUGACAGCUUCGAGGACUGGGCUGUCAUUAAGGAGAAAGCAGAACCUCCAAGACCCCUGGCUCAUCUUUGCCGGCUGCGAGUUCGAAAGGCCAUCGGGAAAUACCGCAUCAAACUCCUGGACACGUUGCCGCUUCCAGGCAGGCUGAUCAGAUACCUGAAAUACGAGAACACCCAGUAACCAGAGCACGCAGGGGCGGAGCAGCUCCUCAGACGGUUUCGCUGAGUCUCAGGACAGCCGUGUCUCCAAAUCCAGGGGGCCCGGGGACAGAUGUGGCUGGGAGCUGCCGGGCUCUCAGAGGUCUCUGGGCCAGAGCUUUGCCCAGAGCAGAGGACAGAUGUAUCGAGCAGGAGAAGAACUGGGUUGGCUUUCACUUGGAUGAGGAAAUCCCAGACCGGCUCUGCCAUUGGGAAUGGCAGAAAGCUCCAUUCCUGGGGCCGAGAGGCGGGACCAGGGCAGAACUUGGGGUGGUCAGGGGAAGGCAAGGGGGCUGGCAGCGAAGCCCUGACCCCACCUCCAGGCUGUGGUUGGAGAGCUUUCUUUCUGGGGUGAUUCUGUCUUUGCUGGGCCACCUCGCUGCAGAGCUGCCCC